GAGGGUAACAGCUCAGUGGUAGAGUGCAUGCUUAGCAUGCAUGAGGUCCUGGGUUCAAUUCCUAGUAUCUUCA
rnacentral:tRNA from 1 species